GGCCUCUGGGAGGCCUAGCGAGGGGUAGACCAGCUUCUGGGGGUACAACGUCAAGGAGGAUCGAUUACUUUCUGAGGAAACAGUUUCUCAGAUUGAAAUAGAAAAGUAUUUCCAAAGUUUGGAAACAAAUUUAAAGGUGUAAAUAACACCCAGGAACACUUUAAUUGCUUUGAAAAGGCAUAAGCAGCCAUCUGAAUUUAAGGGCCCUUUUCAGACUCUUCCUUCCUCCUGUGAUUCCUGUUCUUUAUUGCUUUAUAAUAAUUUUUAAAUUAUUCAUAACUAUCCUAAGCAAUACCUUUUAUUGUUAGAUUAUUAUGUAAUGCCCACAAAUGAUAGAUAGCAUUUGAAAGUAAUUGCUGGCUGAUUAUAGGCAUGGUGGCUUAUGCCUAUAAUCCCAGCACUUUGGGAGGCCAGGGUUGGUGGAUCACAUGAGGCCAGGAGUUCAAGACCAGCCUGGCCAACGUGGCAAAACUCUGUCUCUACUAAAAAUACAAAAUAAUUAGCUGGGCGUAGUGGUGCACAUCUGUAAUCCAGCUACUCAGGAGGCUGAGGCAUGAGAAUUGCUUGAAUUGGGGAGGUGGAGGUUGCAGUGAGCUGAGAUCGCACCACUGCAUUCCAACCUGGGGGACAGAGUGAGACCCUGUCUCAAAAAAAAAAAAAAAAAAGGAAUUGCAAGUAGCCUGUAAUCCCAGCACUUUUAGGAGUCCGAGGCAGGAGGAUCACUUGAGACCAAGCUGGGCAACAUGAUGAAACCCCUGUCUCUACAAAUAAUUUUUUUAAAAUAUUAGCCAGGUGUCUGGCACACGCCUGUAGUCCCAUUUACUUAGGAGGCUUAGGUGGGAGGAUCACCACUUGAGGCCAAGAGAUCAAGAUCAGCCUGGGCAACAUAGCAAGACCCCCACCUAUAGGAAAAUAAAUCCGAGCGUUCCAAGUGUUCAGCUAUUCACCCACUUUAGGUUUCCACCUUCCUUAGAAAGUAGAGUAGUAUAAAUUAUUUCUGAAAUUUGUGAAACGAUGUACCACAUAACCCUCUCAAACCAGGUUGCUACUACUUCCAAUGACUUCAUUGAUAAGGGGCAAAGUAACUCGAAUGAUGGGUGAGCUCAUGACAUGGUUUAGCUCCGUAUCAAACUCUGGAUUUGGGAAAAUUGCUACUGAUUUAUUAAACACUUGAAUUCUUAUAUGCUAGGUCAGAAUUUGGCAACUAAACUCUCAGAAAUUUGUAAACUUCCUUUUAGCUCAUUGUAACAUAGAGCUCCUGGGUUCAAGCCAUCCUCCACCGUCAUCGUCUCCAGUAGCUAGGAAAGGCAUGUGCCACCAAGCCUGGCUAAUUUUUAAAAGAAUUUUUGUAGAGGUGGGGUCUUGCUGUGUUGCCCAGGCUGGCCUGAAGCAGUUUUCCUGCCUUGACCUCCCAAAGUAUUGGGAUUACAGGCAUAAGCCACCACACCAGGCUAUAAGAGUGCAUUUUUAAAAAAGAUAAAAAUGUCUAAGCCCUGUUUGAGUUGUAAGGUGUCAUCAGAUAUGAUGCUGGGUAUAUCAGCUUAUUCCUUUCUUCUGAAGGUUGUUUUUAUGCUAUCUUAAUGAACCAUCAAAGGUUCUGAAAUCAAACAUUUUGAAAAUACUUGACUUACGGCCAUUUUAUAUCAAGUGUAUAUGCUUUUAUUGUUUGUGUGCUUAAAACUGGUUAUUUUCAUGAAUGUACUUUCUAUGGAUCGCUAAAGGUCAGAACCAGCUAAGAAUGAAAAUGAGUACCAUUUAUACUUACUGUCAGCUGAACACUUGCAUUAUUUUUACCUUUAUGGUGUAUCUUACAGAAAUUAGUUUUUAGGUCGUGGUUUCAUACAUAGCAGAGCAGCUCCCUCCCUGCCAUCUAUUCAAAGUCAGCCCUGGACACAGGGUUUGUCCACCCCCUCGCGCAUGCCUGGCGUCUCCGUUGCCAUCCGUCUCUCUUACUUCCUCCCUCUCAAACUCCCUCCCAACACCCCUGGGGGCCUCCUUCCCUGGUCCACGCUUGCCCACCCUCUCCGGGAUCCCAGAGCAAGUGGCGGGUAUCUCGUCGAAAAGCGCCCGUCUCCAUCCGAUGCCUUUCCAAGCUGGCGUAAAUAAAUAGAAACUAUCAAAUUAUUUUCAAGGAUAAGGAAGGACUAAUCAGUAGUUUAGUCAGAGGCCUAGAUCAAAACAUAACAUGUAUUUUUAAAUUAAUCUCUUUAAAUGCAUGGUUAAGUUACCUGUAUAUGUGCUCAGUAAAAUCGGUCAUUUGUGGGGAAAAAAAUGGCUAUUUGGUUUUCUAUGCAUAAAAUUAAGAUAGAAGUCUUUUUCCUCCUAACAGCCUUCAUCAUAGUGGAUUUAAAAAAACCAGUGUCACUUAGGCUGUGUCUUAUUUGUUUCUAAAACAAUGGAACAAGUCAGAUGUUUGUGGAAUACAUUUUAUAUUUGCAAAUAAAGUAAAAAUUUUUUCUUAGAUGUCAUCAUUCAUAAUUUUCUUACAGUGUAGCAAUUUUUGAAGAACCAUAUGCUGCACUAUUUAAUAAAAAUCUGCAUUUUUGACAAACCCCUCAUUCCCAGGUAUUUAAUUUGCAAAUGCUACAUUGAUAACACUGAUAUAUGGAAUGGAUUGCUUCUCUAAAAUGUCUGUGGAAAGCAACAGUGCAAAGACAUUAUAUUUUCAUUUCUUUUUGGGGGAGUGUUACUGUAAUAUUAGACAUCCGACCUGAGAAGUUUGGAGGUACUAUUGCCAUGAACCAUUUCUUCCGUAAUUCAAAAGUUAUCUUUGAAGUGACACUUUUUUUUUUUUUUAAUACACACACGUCUUUUAGCUUGGUUGAUAUGCCCUCAGCCUGAAAGAUAACAACUUGCUUAUUUAUUACACAACCAGAUUACUUGACUCCCUAUGUUUGAAGUCCCCAGUUUAGAUUGGUUAUUAAGUAAGCAUUCAUUAGAUUUUCAAUUAUUUAUAAAAGCUAAAUAUAAAGAACCACAAACUAUUUCAACAAGUUAAUACAGCCAAAGCAUAUAGAUAAAUAUAUGAAACAAUACAGUAAAUACAUGAGACCAAAAAUUCAGUCUUUCAUCAGUCUGGAAAUAAACAAAUAUUUUGUGUGUGAUUGUUUCUGAAACUGCAGACAGGUAUUUUUAAUUCUUAACUCCUACUGUGUUCAGUACAUUAUUCAGAAGAUUAGCCAGGAACAGAAAAUGUGCAAUUUAAUUUCCCUUAGGUUCAAGGUAUAAGCUAAACAGAGUCUUUCCCUGCACAAAUUAUCAAGUUGGCUGUGUUUCACUGGAUAGGAGAUGGGACAGUGGGAAUCUUGUUUGUUCAUUGAUGGGCGUCAUUAUUUAGAUGGUGAGGCAUUUGGCUACCUUGAAAGUCAUCUUUACUCCCUGUUACCCUCACUUUAUUGAAUUUCUUUACUUUGACUUUCAGAGCUCUGGGCAGAAAUCACAUAUUAGUUUGGAGGACUGCAGAAGGGCCUUGUCUGCCCCGGUCUGAAUACCCCAGGCGGGGUCGGAAAGCGGGUCACAGAAGAGCCCAGUAAACUGCAGGGGUGCAGCUCGUCUCCAGGAACCGGCAACCCCCAGGGCCGCACAAGCCGGUAACAACCCAUAAUCCGAUCCUGUCUUCGGGAUCAGAAGAGAGGACAGCUGGCCCGCGCGCCAGCUCAGUUCCUCCUCCGCAUUCUUCAGGAGGAGCCCCAGAAACGCACUUCCGCCGCGCGGGCCUGCCUCCACGCAGGGCGCGUCCUAGGCCGGUUCAUUUCCGCCCAGCGCUUUCUGUGGCUAGGGGAGUCAGGGGUUUCCUUUUCCCUUAUUCGGGCUCUUAUGUUACCCCCGUUUUCCGUUGAACCCUUUUCUCCCCUCUUGCCCUCCAAAAAAGCAGUCUGCUGCCGCUCCCGACUUUUCUCGCUGAGACACCGUCAGCUCACUCCGAGCCCAGCACAGCGGCCAUCUUCGGUAAAUUCUGGCAGCAGCCCGCCUGUUCAUUGUCCUGUGUGCCCAGAGGAAAGAACUACUCAUUUUUCGUGAUCAAGCUAGGGGAGGCAGGAGCAAUAAUGGCCCUGCUAUAGGACUGGCUUUUAUUUGAAUUCCAACUCUUCUGCCACCUUAACCAGCUGUAUCCAGAUUUUAAAAGUUAAUCUAUCCGAGCCUCUUAUUAAAUAUUAGGUUGAUGAGAUGAUGCAUGCAAAGCGCUUAGAACAGUACUAGGCAUAAAGCGUCCGACAUAAAGGUUAAGUAAAAGUAAGGAAAAGCUAUGGGGAUGUAUUACUGAAUGAGUAUUCUUUUAAGGGUGGUGGACAAGCAAAGGUUUGGUAGCAUCACAUUUUUAAUUUCACAGGGAAAAUGGGUAUGAAACAUCUUCCCAAGUACAUCUUAGACUGCCAGCUGACAGCAAGCCAUAAUGCUCCCCAGCUCUUGGGCCCUACACCCCCUCUCCCCCAUCCCCGCUUUAGUUCUUUGUCAUUGCUCAUGGACAGCUGGUUUGGGGACCAGGUGCAGAUGAUGGGAGGUGUCUGAAAAACAGCAAGUGAGAAAUGCUAGUUUUGUUGUUUUAAGUUGCACUGAUGACUCCAGUAGUUAUCUGUGCUGCUUGUGAUAAUUUAUAAGGCAAUGAUAACGAAUUAAACAUACAAAAGAUUAUUAUCUUCCACAGGAAAAAAAAACUGCAAACUUGUGACACCAUUUAUGAUCCACUUAGUCUUGAGAUACUGAGUAAUAGAACUUUCUCCUUUUAGGCUGAGUUAUGAACUUCGGUUUGGUUUCUUUCUGCAAUCCCUGCAGGGCCAUAAAUUCUUGGCCCUUAAGACUGGGUGGCCCAUAACAGACUCAGUGAUACCAUCAGUAACCACAAUUCACACUGGAGUCAAGUUAUCUGAUUCCCACACCAGUUGGAGAACUGGAGAUUCCUUAGAACUUUUAACUGUCAUGUUUUCAAAGUUGACAUGGAAAAUUUUACAUGAAGCUUAAAAAUACAACUAAUCUGUGGUGAUAGAGACGAGAAGAGUUAAGCUCUAAAAUUAGAAGAGCAGUUCGUUUUGAGGCAGCACUGAUUGGGAGGGAGCAUGGAGUAUAUAAUUACACAUUUCUAUGUAAUGUAAAAAUGUAUAGAUUUAAGAUUUAUGCAUUUUAUGUAAAUUUUACUACAAUAAAACGAAAAUGAAAGAAGACAGAUCAUAGUUUAAUCAAAUAUUGUGUACAAAGUAAUUUCUGUUAAACAUUUAUAUUUUUAUGUGUAUAUGUAUCUUUUACAUGUAUGUGUUAAGGAUAUGCAUUAAAAUGGUAAUAACUUCCUC
rnacentral:lncRNA from 1 species